rnacentral:rRNA from 1 species
UACGAAGGGAGCUAGCGUUGUUCGGAAUCACUGGGCGUAAAGCGCACGUAGGCGGAUUUGUCAGUCAGGGGUGAAAUCCCGGGGCUCAACCUCGGAACUGCCUUUGAUACAGCAAGUCUUGAGUUCGAAAGAGGUGGGUGGAAUUCCUAGUGUAGAGGUGAAAUUCGUAGAUAUUAGGAAGAACACCGGUGGCGAAGGCGGCCCACUGGCUCGAUACUGACGCUGAGGUGCGAAAGCGUGGGGAGCGAACAGG